CGCUGCUGCUGCAGCAGAGCAAGUACCGAGACUUGCUACUGCCAAUACAUCCACAACAUGCUGCUUCGAGUAUGGAAGAAAUAAUGCUGCUGCAAAUAUAACAUACAUGAAAUAACCCCAUAGCAUACAUGAAUCACCUCAUAGCAGAUCUAUACAGGUGGUGCUGGGGAAGGUGGAGGGGUUCUUAAGCAAUCUGCACCGCUACGGCAAACUCUAGUCAUAUAUUUUAAUGUUGAGCAGCGAGCUCAUUGGCUACCAAUACAGAGAAACCAAUCAGCUGUGCCAUGUGAUAAUGAUGUCAUUACGUCAGACUGAGUUAGACCUAUCGGACUGCGCCAUCAGAGUUUCAUGCCAGAACUCUGUAUUUCUUGGGUAUCUCAACUUUCCUUUUCUAGUGCUUUUCUUCUAGAUCUCUUUACAGUAGUGCAAUGAAAAUAAACUUUUCUUAAUGCUUAUAAAUUUCACUGUAUCUGCAGAAAUGUUUUUAGAAAAUGGUGAAUUAUUUCAUGAAUUUUGUGUUACUGUAAGGAACCAUGAUGUACCAGCUGAUUUGAUAAAUAUCCUUUUAAAAGUAAAUGGCAUUUAUGUUUGCAAAACAAGUUAGACUUACCACAGUUACCACAUGUGAUGCCAAUGCAAAGAAUUCAGGGGAUGAUCGGUUGCUAUAUACUUCUCUGAAAGUUUCAUUUAGACUGAAUCUUAAGUGUAUGCUUCCCUCUUCUAUGGUAGGAGGAUCAGUGUUUGUGGCCUCUGUCGUCAGUGUAAUUUCUGAAUCUGUGGUACCAAAGUUGUUCAACGUAGUAUGUCCUGUUGAUAAAGAACCAGUUUCAGGUUGAUUUGUAGGUUUUUGUGUCACUCUUUCGACAGUGGUGGAGACCUCUGAAGUAUGAGAUACUGUUACUGGCUUCAUUGUUGUUGCUGUUGUUGUUGUCAUUGUUUCAGAAUGUAAUACAGGGGAUGAAACCUCAGCUGAUGUAUUCUUGGUUGAUUCUGGUUCACUGCUAACAGUAGCUGCUGUAGUUGUCCCUGAUGCAGUUGCUGCCAAUGCUGAUGUCACUGGUACCCAGGUAGAAGCUUUGGGCGCAGUAGCAGACUCUCUUGUUGUCACUGCAUCUUCAGUUGUAGUUAUUGUUGCUGUGGUGGUCCCUGCUGUAGUUGCUGGUGAUGCUGAUGUCACUCCUGCUGAUGCUGCAGUAGUUGCACUUGUUGUUCGUACCAACAAUGUUGAGGCUUCUGCAGAUGAUUCUGAAGUUCUGGAUGUUCUUGCAGUUGUUGUUUUUACUUCACCUGUCUCAGGUAUAGUUGAUGAUCCCUCUGUUUUUGGGGCUGCUGCUGUAGUGGGAGCAAAUGUUGAUUUUGUUGUACCAGAUGCUGUCAAUGUAGUUAUUCCUGCUGAUGAAGAACCAGUGUCAGCAUGUGUUGUAGGUUCUUGUGUCACUCUUUCGACAGUGGUGGAGACUUCUGAUGUGUGGGCCACUGUUACUGGCUUCACUGACAUUAAUGUUGUAGAUCCCUUUUGGACUGUUAAGGGUUCUGUUGUGACUUGAGAUGUCACUAGUACCAAGGUUGAAGCGUUGGGUGCAGUAGUAGACUCUGCUAUGCUUGUUGUCGAUGUUGUUGUGACUGUAUCUCCUGCCACAGUAUGUAACACAGUAGAUGGACCCACAGCUAGUGUGUUCUUGGUUGAUUCUGGUUCAUUGCUAACAGUUGCUGCUGUGGUUGAGCCCAGUGCUGUUGCUGGCAAUGCUGAUGUCACUCCUGCUGAUGCUGCAGUAGUUGCACUUGUUGUUCGUACCAACGAUGUUGGGGCUUCUGCAGAUGAUUCUGUAGUUAUGGAUGUGCUUGCAGUUGUUGUCUUUACUUCACCUGUUUCAGGUAAAGAUGAUGAUCCCUCUGUUUUUGGUGCUGCUGUAGUGGGAGCAAAUGUUGAUUUUGUUGUACCAGAUGCUGUCAAUGUAGUUAUUCCUGCUGAUGAAGAACCAGUGUCAGCAUGCGUUGUAGGUUCUUGUGUCACUCUUUCGACAGUGGUGGAGACUUCUGAUGUUACUGGCUUCACUGACAUUAAUGUUGUAGUUUCCUUUUGGACUGUUGAGGGUUCUGGUGUGACUUGAGAUGUCACUGGUACCAAGGUUGAAGCUUUGGGUGCAGUAGUAGACUCUGCUAAGCUUGUUGUCGAUGUUGUUGUGACUGUAUCUCUUGCCACAGUAUGUAACACAGUAGAUGGACCCACAGCUAGUGUGUUCUUGGUUGAUUCUGGUUCAUUGCUAACAGUUGCUGCUGUGGUUGAGCCCAGUGCUGUUGCUGGCAAUGCUGAUGUCACUCCUGCUGAUGCUGCAGUAGUUGCACUUGUUGUUCGUACCAAUAAUGUUGGGGCUUCUGCAGAUGAUUCUAUAGUUAUGGAUGUGCUUGCAGUUGUUGACUUUACGUCACCUGUUUUAGGUAAAGAUGAUGAUCCCUCUGUUUUUGGUGCUGCUGUAGAGGGAGCAAAUGUUGAUUUUGUUGUACCAGAUGCUGUCAAUGUAGUUAUUCCUGCUGAUGAAGAACCAGUGUCAGCAUGCGUUGUAGGUUCUUGUGUCACUCUUUCGACGGUGAUGGAGACUUCUGAUGUAUGGGCCACUGUUACUGGCUUCACUGACAUUAAUGUUGUAGUUUCCUUUUGGACUGUUGAGGGUUCUGGUGUGACUUGAGAUGUCACUGGUACCAAGGUUGAAGCUUUGGGUGCAGUAGUAGACUCUGCUAAGCUUGUUGUCGAUGUUGUUGUGACUGUAUCUCCUGCCACAGUAUGUAACACAGUAGAUGGACCCACAGCUAGUGUGUUCUUGGUUGAUUCUGGUUCAUUGCUAACAGUUGCUGCUGUGGUUGAGCCCAGUGCUGUUGCUGGCAAUGCUGAUGUCACUCCUGCUGAUGCUGCAGUAGUUGCACUUGUUGUUCGUACCAAUAAUGUUGGGGCUUCUGCAGAUGAUUCUCUAGUUAUGGAUGUGCUUGCAGUUGUUGACUUUACGUCACCUGUUUUAGGUAAAGAUGAUGAUCCCUCUGUUUUUGGUGCUGCUGUAGUGGGAGCAAAUGUUGAUUUUGUUGUACCAGAUGCUCUCAAUGUAGUCAUUCCUGCUGAUGAAGAACCAGUGUCAGCAUGCGUUGUAGGUUCUUGUGUCACUGUUUCGACAGUGGUGGAGACUUCUGAUGUUACUGGCUUUACUGACAUUAAUGUUGUAGUUUCCUUUUGGACUGUUGAGGGUUCUUGUGUCACUGUUUCGACAGUGGUGGAGACUUCUGAUGUUACUGGCUUUACUGACAUUAAUGUUGUAGUUUCCUUUUGGACUGUUGAGGGUUCUUUUGUGACUUGAAAUGUCACUGGUACCAAGGUUGAAGCUUUGGGUGCAGUAGUAGACUCUGCUAAGCUUGUUGUCGAUGUUGUUGUGACUGUAUCUACUGCCACGGAAUGUAACACAGUAGAUGAACCCACAGCUAGUGUGUUCUUGGUUGAUUCUGGUUCAUUGCUAACAGUUGCUGCUGUGGUUGAGCCCAGUGCUGUUGCUGGCAAUGCUGAUGUCACUCCUGCUGAUGCUGCAGUAGUUGCACUUGUUGUUCGUACCAAUAAUGUUGGGGCUUCUGCAGAUGAUUCUCUAGUUAUGGAUGUGCUUGCAGUUGUUGUCUUUACUUCACCUGUUUCAGGUAAAGGUGAUGAUCCCUCUGUUUUUGGUGCUACUGUAGUAGGAGCAAAUGUUGAUUUUGUUGUACCAGAUGCUGUCAAUGUAGUUAUUCCUGCUGAUGAAGAACCAGUGUCAGCAUGCGUUGUAGGUUCUUGUGUCACUCUUUCGACAGUGGUGGAGACUUCUGAUGUUACUGGCUUUACUGACAUUAAUGUUGUAGUUUCCUUUUGGACUGUUGAGGGUUCUUUUGUGACUUGAAAUGUCACUGGUACCAAUGUUGAAGCUUUGGGUGCAGUAGUAGACUCUGCUAAGCUUGUUAUCGAUGUUGUUGUGACUGUAUCUACUGCCACGGAAUGUAACACAGUAGAUGAACCCACAGCUAGUGUGUUCUUGGUUGAUUCUGGUUCAUUGCUAACAGUUGCUGCUGUGGUUGAGCCCAGUGCUGUUGCUGGCAAUGCUGAUGUCACUCCUGCUGAUGCUGCAGUAGUUGCACUUAUUGUUCGUACCAACGAUGUUGGGGCUUCUGCAGAUGAUUCUGUAGUUCCGGAUGUUCUUGCAGUUGUUGUCUUUACUUCACCUGUUUCAGGUAAAGGUGAUGAUCCCUCUGUUUUUGGUGCUACUGUAGUAGGAGCAAAUGUUGAUUUUGUUGUACCAGAUGCUGUCAAUGUAGUUAUUCCUGCUGAUGAAGAACCAGUGUCAGCAUGCGUUGUAGGUUCUUGUGUCACUCUUUCGACAGUGGUGGAGACUUCUGAUGUUACUGGCUUUACUGACAUUAAUGUUGUAGUUUCCUUUUGGACUGUUGAGGGUUCUGGUGUGACUUGAGAUGUCACUGGUACCAAGGUUGAAGCUUUGGGUGCAGUAGUAGCCUCUGCUAAGCUUGUCGAUGUUGUUGUGACUGUAUCUCCUGCCACAGUAUGUAACACAGUAGAUGGACCCACAGCUAGUGUGUUCUUGGUUGAUUCUGGUUCAUUGCUAACAGUUGCUGCUGUGGUUGUGCCCCAAACAGUUGCUGGCAAUGCUGAUGAUGCUCCUGUUGAUGUUAAAGUAGUUGCACUUGUUGCCUCGGCAGCUGUAAAAAUCGCAUUAGAUGAUGGUAUUUUUGUUGCUGGCGGUGCUGUUUCUGAUGCAGACACUGUUGUUUCAUUUGGUGUUAUUGAAACUGUUUUGGUUGUUAAAGGUUCUGUUGUGACUUGAGGUGAUGAUGACUCUGUUAUUGCAGAUUGUACUGCAUUGCUUGACACUGCCUCUGUUGUAGAUAGUGUUUGUGUAAGCUGAAUUGUU
ensembl:lncRNA